UACGUAGGGUGCAGGCGUUAAUCGGAAUUACUGGGCGUAAAGCGUGCGCAGGCGGCUUCCUAAGUCAGAUGUGAAAUCCCCGGGCUCAACCUGGGAACUGCGUUUGAAACUGGGAGGCUGGAGUGCGGCAGAGGGGGGUGGAAUUCCACGUGUAGCAGUGAAAUGCGUAGAUAUGUGGAGGAACACCGAUGGCGAAGGCAGCCCCCUGGGCCAGCACUGACGCUCAUGCACGAAAGCGUGGGGAGCAAACAGG
rnacentral:rRNA from 1 species